rnacentral:rRNA from 1 species
UACGUAGGGUGCGAGCGUUAAUCGGAAUACUGGGCGUAAAGCGUGCGCAGGCGGUGAUGUAAGACAGUUGUGAAAUCCCCGGGCUCAACCUGGGAACCGCAUCUGUGACUGCAUCGCUGGAGUGCGGCAGAGGGGGAUGGAAUUCCGCGUGUAGCAGUGAAAUGCGUAGAUAUGCGGAGGAACACCGAUGGCGAAGGCAAUCCCCUGGGCCUGCACGUGACGCUCCAUGCACAAAGCGUGGGAGCAACAGGA